CGAGGGGUAACAGCGGACUUCGGUUCGGCUGACGACCGGCGGACGGGUGAGUAACACGUAUGGAACUACCCUUUGCGGCGGAUACCCGGGGAAACCGGAUUAAUACGCCAUAUAUCUUAGGUAUCACCUGAUAUUAAAGAGAAAGAUUAUCGGCAAAGGAUGGCCAUGCGGGAUCUUAGGUAGUUGGUAGGGUAACGGCCUACCAAGCCGACGAUGUCUAUGGGUUCUAGAAGGAAGGCCCCACACACUGGUACUGAGACACGGACCAGACUCCUACGGGAGGCAGCAGUGAGGAAUAUUGGUCAAUGGGCGAGAGCCUGAACCAGCCAUGCCGCGUGCAGGAAGACGUUCUUACAGGAUGUAAACUGCUUUUGAUCGGGAAGAACAGCACUUACGUGUUAAGUGUGUGCCGGUACCGAUUGAAUAAGCAUCGGCUAACUCCGUGCCAGCAGCCGCGGUAAUACGGAGGAUGCGAGCGUUAUCCGGAUUUAUUAGGUUUAAAGGGUGAGUAGGCUGCUUACUAAGUCAGCGGUGAAAUGUCUUGGCUUAACCAAGGAGUUGCCGAUGAAACUGGUAAGCUUGAGUAAAGAUGAAGCAGGCGGAAUGAGUAAUGUAGCGGUGAAAUGCAUAGAUAUUACUCAGAACCCCAAUUGCGCAGGCAGCUUGCUAAACUUUAACUGACGCUGAUACACGAAAGCGUGGGUAGCGAACAGGAUUAGAUACCCUGGUAGUCCACGCAGUAAACGAUGAUUACUGGUUGUUGGCGAUAGAAAGUCAGUGACUGAGCGAAAGCAUUAAGUAAUCCACCUGGGGAGUACGUCGGCAACGAUGUAACUCAAAGGAAUUACGGGGGGCCCGCACAAGCGGAGGAACAUGUGGUUUAAUUCGAUGAUACGCGAGGAACCUUACCUGGGCUUAAACUUACAGAGCUGUUACCAGAGAUGGUAAUUUCCGCAAGGACUGUGUAAGAGGUGCUGCAUGGCUGUCGUCAGCUCGUGCCGUGAGGUGUCGGGUUAAGUCCCAUAACGAGCGCAACCCCUAUUGCUAGUUACCAACACGUAAAGGUGGGGACUCUAGUGAGACUGCCACCGUAAGGUGAGAGGAAGGUGGGGAUGACGUCAAAGUCAGCCUGGCCCUUAUGUCCAGGGCUACACACGUGUUACAAUGGCCGGGUACAGAGGGCAGCUACUGUGUAACAGAUGCGAUCUCGAACCGGUCCCAGUUCGGAUCGUAGUCUG
rnacentral:rRNA from 1 species